rnacentral:lncRNA from 1 species
CGAACACCUGUAUUUAUAGCUACAAGUGAGGCAAGUAGGAAAUGUAAGGAUGGUGGUAUUGUAUCCCUCACAGAAUCAUUAGCCAUACUAGUAAGGGCUCUGAUUAGAAGAAUACAAUUAACAGGAGGAAGCAGCUGAAAUUUGUGUGGGGUUUACAUACACUUGGCUAUGGCAAAGCACUUUAUCUUCUCAUUAAUUCUUUCAAAGCUUGGGGGAAGAAACAAAAAUAUGCAGCAUCAGAAACAAGUAUAGAGGUAUGAUACCUCAUCAUCAGUGAAUACUCAUGCAACAAACCUUGUUCUGUCAAUGGUCCCAGAAAAGGCAUGACUAUCAUGGCUUGCAGAUGUGUUUGAAUGACAGUUUGCCAGUCAUCUCUGGGUACAACCCACGAGGCUUCAGUCACCUAUAGUUCUAGCCACCGCUGAGUAAGAGAUCCCCAUAUUUGGGGAUGCGAAUCUAAGCAAGUCCCAGGAUGAAGCCUACGCACUUGGACUACAGGGGAUGGAUGAAGUGAAUUGCACCACUUCCCAUCAUUCAAGACCACCCAGCUGUAAUCAGCACUCUCACUGCACCUUCAACCCACAUAUAGGUGAGUCAAAAUCCCAGUAGAUUUCCCAGUAGAUGAAAAUAAUGAAUUGGCUUCAUACAUCACCAGCUGGAACCAGGGUCUAAAACCUUUUGGGAAAAGUGUAAGAAGACAUUAGCCUGAAAAUUGAGCAUUCUCAAAGGUCUGAGGAACCCUAUUGAGUCUUCUACAUACACAGAUGUGUUGCUGGCUGCAGCAAGUAGUAAACCACUAAUUCCCAAGGUAGUUCUCACUUGGACCAUAUAACUUCUGCUAAAACUGAUGUUCAGUGUUGCUUUUCUCAAAACAAGGUUAAUGCAGUAGCUCUGUAGCUCUGCAAUUAACACUAGCUACUUUUACUGUAGGGUCUUAUAAGAAAGGGCAUAGGCCUUUGUUGAUGCUUUUCCAAAUAAACUGGUAAUCUGGCUUACUUCUUUGGCUGGG